AGAGCAGAGUGCUUUUUUCUUCGGAUGUAGCUGGUCGGCGGUGCUGAGCACUGAACAAAAUGAUGCCCCUCUUCUUGGAAAGCGUCUGCUCAAUAGAGUGGCGUUCUGGAGCUCCUGGCCACUAUUGCAGCACCUGGAGCGCAGAGGAGACUUUUUUUGUGGAGCUACAAAACAGCCAGUCACCUGGAUGUGUAGGGUUUGUUUUGGAAUCCAAGUUAAACAGAGUGUGGGAUUCUGUUUCUUGUGGAUGGCUACAGGAAAAGCCCUGAUUAAUUACCAUUUGGUGUAAUGCAAGAUGAAAGAUGAGGACUCCACGUAGUAAGGGGCUCUCAGAUGACAAUUUGAGUCACGGAGACUGGAAGAAGUUCAGCCAGCUGUGGAGCUGCACAGAGGGCUCAGGGGCAGGACGCAAAGCUUUCGCUUUAAGAUCCAGCUUUUCGACCGGAUUUCUCAUGGUGGCCGUGCCUUCAGCAUCAGUAUCAGCAGAAACUUGAGCAGUCCCUUCCAAUCAGUUGAAACUACCUGGAGUUCAAGACUGCUGCAGUCCCCAGCGUCGUCCUGGCGUGGGAGGUGGCCCCGCAGCACCAGGCAGGGUUCCUUGGCGUUUCCGAGCUCGCUCAGCUGAUGGCCUGCCUGCCGGGAUGGACACGAGGAAUUACUCCCUUAGUGGAAGAGGCUGAGAGCUCGUGAGCCCCUCUUCCCCCGUGAAGGGAAUCAGUUUGCUGAAGGCCGAAAUCACGAGGAAAGUGUGAAGUGGAUUGGGUGUACGUGGAACGAGGAGCAGCUGAGUGAGGGUUUCAGUGUCUGAGACUUCAGUAUCCUACUCCCAAAGCAGCCGCAGUUGUGUGUAGCGGGAUCCUGGCUCCUCGGUGAGCUGUGAGCUCCCCCAGGUGGGAGAGCUGCUGCUGUGCACCAGCCACUGAGCGCCGCAGGCAGUGGGAACCUCGUGGGUUCUGGGUGCUGCUGAAGCUUCCGUUCGUGUGCUCACUGUGGAGGACUGAUCCCUCCCAGGGAGUUUUUGCAGAAAAAGAGCUUUGGGGGGAGGGGCUGGAAUAUUUGAAAUACUUAAAAUACGUGAAUAUUUGAGAAUGUGUGGAAUAUUGGGAGGGGUGAAUAAAGGCGGUCACUUGAAGCUCUU